GAGGGGUUGGGUAAAGCUUUAUUAUAUAGAGAGUAAUUUACCAAGAUAACCUGGUGUUUGGCAGUAGGAGGGAGUUGCUUUAGAGCAGCGGCAGGCAGGGAUGUAAGGUCACCAUGCAUUGUUUGGCCGGCGAUGGCUAGCUGAGGGUAACAAUAAUUUAGUGAGCUUGUGCCUUACUGAAAAACUGUUCUUGCCCAAGAAGAACAAUAAAGUGCAGCUGUUUUAGUGUGGGAAGUGUCUCCUGAGGAGUCAAUAAUAGGGGCUGCAGACAGUACAUUUCCAGCAGUGUUUGGUGAGCCCACAAAAAGAGCUUCCACAAUGCUAAAAAAUGCAGGUCACUCUUACACAAAAUGUACCUAAUGAAGGAUUUCCCUUACCUGAAAGCAUCUUAUAGUUGGUCAUCUUUACAUAAACUUAUUACAAAUACAUCACCAUCAUCAUCAUCAUCAUCAUCAUCAUCAUCAUCGUUUAACGUCCAUUUCUUCCUUGUGGUGGACGGGGUAUGAGCCUACUCCUCCACUGUCCAUUUCCUCCGUGAUGUUCAGCCUCCUCAUAUCUUCCUCCACCUUGGCCUUCUCUUCUGCCUCAAGGUUUAGUUCAGGAUGUGUUCUUCUCCUCACAAACCACCUUAAUCUGGCCUUACUCCUCCAGGCCACUCCUCCCUACCACUUCUUCAUUUGAGAUUCCAUCCUGCCAUGUGAUUGCCAUCAAGUAUCUCAGCAUUCUCACACCACACUAGUGCCUCCAGCUGUUUCCUGCCAGCCCAGGUCUCUGCCCCGCACACACACACACACACCUGUGCUGCCAGGCGGAAUAUACUGGUUGACUAGUAAGCCUGCCAGUUCCCUGCACUCUUCCAAGCACAAGCUGUCCUGCCUCUCACUGCUGCCAGGCGGGAUAUUCUGGUUCACUAGUAAGCCUGCCAAUUCCCUGCACUCUUCCAAGCACAAGCUGUCCUGCCUCUCACUGCUGCCAGGGAAGGAGCCGAGAUGAGACCAGACUCAGCCCUCCAGUGAGCCCAGGUGACCACCAGGGGGACACCCACGCACCUCAUGGCUUAGGGGAAAAUGCAUGAAGGUGGUGGGUGAGUGAAGCAACGCACCCCCUGUGUAUGCUCAGGUCCCAGGCUACGUCAGGAAGGGAGACAGAGACGAGACCACUGAGCCGAGGGAACCAGUCAGGCCUUCAAGAUGCUGCCUGGAUGCUGGGGGAGACGAGAUGAGACGAGUCCUGUUGGGGAGAAGAUGGAGGGAGAUUGAUUGAAGGGCAGAGAUGAGAGAGAGAUGGAACUAACUCUCUCUCUCUGUAUUUCUAUAAAGAGAAGACUAAUAAAGUUUGGAAAUAUAUAUUACAACGGAUAUAUUUAAACCUACUACUCUUCUUCUUCCUUGUCUCUUUCCUCUGUCCACCAGUGAGCUA